UUGUAACUAAAAUGGUUUGGCAGUGAGCGAUUCUUGUUAGGGGAAGAUGCAUAGUAAAGGAUGGUCCACCUAUUAUUUUACUCUCGUUAUGUUGGUGUAUAUCUGGUUUAAUAUUAUCGUUCAAUGGUUUGAGUUUGUGUAGUUUUAGUUAAGCCAAGUCUAUGUGCUGCUUAUGAGAGUUUUUGUGUGUUACAUUAAUAAGGGUGUUGUUGUAAUAUGAUAUUACUUAGGACUUAAUAGUAAUGU
rnacentral:rRNA from 1 species